GAUGAACGCUAGCGGCAGGCUUAACACAUGCAAGUCGAGGGGCAGCGAGAGAGUAGCAAUACUUUUGUCGGCGACCGGCGGACGGGUGCGUAACGCGUAUGCAACCUACCUUAUACAGGGGGGAUAACCUUUCGAAAGGGAGACUAAUACCGCAUAACAUUACUUUGAGGCAUCUUGAGGUAAUUAAAUCUUCGGAGGUAUAAGAUGGGCAUGCGUAGCAUUAGCUAGAUGGUGCGGUAACGGCGUACCAUGGCGACGAUGCUUAGGGGUUCUGAGAGGAAGGUCCCCCACACUGGUACUGAGAUACGGACCAGACUCCUACGGGAGGCAGCAGUGAGGAAUAUUGGUCAAUGGUCGGAAGACUGAACCAGCCAUGCCGCGUGCAGGAAGAAUGUCUUAUGGAUUGUAAACUGCUUUUGUAUGGGGCUAAUAAUAACUUUGCGAAGUUAGAUGCAGGUACCAUACGAAUAAGGAUCGGCUAACCCCGUGCCAGCAG
rnacentral:rRNA from 1 species